CUGUCCAUUCGAAGCUUUCUCGUGGUGCAUCGCAAUGGCUAACACAGGGGGGUAGAAUAUGUCCUCACUAAAACACAGGGGUAGAGGCUAAUCUCUUCCCCUGUAUCCUGUCGUGAGGUACAUGC
rfam:Xenopus laevis strain J chromosome 1S, whole genome shotgun sequence.